rnacentral:misc_RNA from 1 species
UAAAUGACAACACCUUCA